rnacentral:lncRNA from 1 species
GUGCAGUGGUGCGAUCUCGGCUCACUGCAAGCUCCGCCUCCCGGGUUCACGCCAUUCUCCUGCCUCAGCCUCCCGAGUAGCUGGGACUACAGGCGCCCGCCACCAUACCCAGCUAAUUUUUUGUAUUUUUAGUAGAGAUGGGGUUUCACCGUGCCUUCAAUCUCUUGCUUCGGCACCUGGGUGGCUUUCCGCCCACAGCAGCAAGAGUCAUUGUUAGUAAUAAGUCUUAAUACUGUACCAUAAGGUUGCAUCUUGUUUAUUUUUUUGAGACAGAGUCUCACUCUGUCUCCCAGGCUGGAGUGCGGUGGUGCAAUCUUGGCUCGCUGCAGCCUCAACCUCCCAGGCUCAAGCGAUCCUCCCACCUCAGCCUCCCAAGUAGCUUGGGACCACAGGCGAGAGCCACAACACUCAGCUAAUUUUUGUACUUUUUGUAGAGACAGGGUUUCACCAUGUAGCCUAGGCUGAUCUCAAACUCCUGAGCUCAACUGAUGCAUUUGCCUUGGCCUCCCAAAGUGCUGGGAUUACAGGUGUGAGCCACCGCACCUGGCUACAUCUCAUUUAUUGAGUACUCGUUUAUAUCCUCUAGUGAACACCUAAUAUAGAU